AACGAACGCUGGCGGCAGGCCUAACACAUGCAAGUCGAACGCCCUAGCAAUAGGGAGUGGCGCACGGGUGCGUAACGCGUGGGAACAUGCCCUUGGGUGCGGAACAACACAGGGAAACUUGUGCUAAUACCGCAUAAUGACUCCGGUCCAAAGUUUAUCCAACCACUUGUUCUGCAACUGAUUCUGGAGCAGUCCAGUUAUGGUUGUAAAGCAAGUGGUUGGAAUAUUCGCCCAAGGAUUGGCCCGCGUU
rnacentral:rRNA from 1 species